rnacentral:rRNA from 1 species
GACGAACGCUGGCGGCGUGCCUAAUACAUGCAAGUCGAGCGAGUCUGCCUUGAAGAUCGGAGUGCUUGCACUCUGUGAAACAAGAUACAGGCUAGCGGCGGACGGGUGAGUAACACGUGGGUAACCUGCCCAAGAGAUCGGGAUAACACCUGGAAACAGAUGCUAAAACCGGAUAACAACAGAUGAUGCCUAUCAACUGUUUAAAAGAUGGUUCUGCUAUCACUCUUGGAUGGACCUGCGGUGCAUUAGCUAGUUGGUAGGGUAACGGCCUACCAAGGCGAUGAUGCAUAGCCGAGUUGAGAGACUGAUCGGCCACAUUGGGACUGAGACACGGCCCAAACUCCUACGGGAGGCAGCAGUAGGGAAUCUUCCACAAUGGACGCAAGUCUGAUGGAGCAACGCCGCGUGAGUGAAGAAGGGUUUCGGCUCGUAAAGCUCUGUUGUUGGUGAAGAAGGACAGGGGUAGUAACUGACCUUUGUUUGACGGUAAUCAAUUAGAAAGUCACGGCUAACUACGUG